rnacentral:rRNA from 1 species
UGGGGAAUUUUGGACAAUGGGCGAAAGCCUGAUCCAGCAAUGCCGCGUGUGUGAAGAAGGCCUUCGGGUUGUAAAGCACUUUUGUCCGGAAAGAAAUCCUUGGCUCUAAUACAGUCGGGGGAUGACGGUACCGGAAGAAUAAGCACCGGCUAACUACGUGCCAGCAGCCGCGGUAAUACGUAGGGUGCAAGCGUUAAUCGGAAUUACUGGGCGUAAAGCGUGCGCAGGCGGUUUGCUAAGACCGAUGUGAAAUCCCCGGGCUCAACCUGGGAAUUGCAUUGGUGACUGGCAGGCUAGAGUAUGGCAGAGGGGGGUAGAAUUCCACGUGUAGCAGUGAAAUGCGUAGAGAUGUGGAGGAAUACCGAUGGCGAAGGCAGCCCCCUGGGCCAAUACUGACGCUCAUGCACGAAAGCGUGGGGAGCAAACAGGAUUAGAUACCCUGGUAGUCCACGCCCUAAACGAUGUCAACUAGUUGUUGGGGAUUCAUUCCUUAGUAACGUAGCUAACGCGUGAAGUUGACCGCCUGGGGAGUACGGUCGCAAGAUUAAAACUCAAAGGAAUUGACGGGGUCAUAGCUGUUUCCU